UACGUAGGGGGCAAGCGUUGUCCGGAUUUACUGGGCGUAAAGGGUGCGUAGGCGGCGCGGUAAGUCGGGUGUGAAAUCUCCCGGCUCAACUGGGAGGGUGCAUCGAAAACUGGGGUGCUCGAGUGCAGGAGAGGAACGCAGAAUUCCAGGUGUAGCGGUGAAAUGCGUAGAUAUCUGGAGGAAUACCGGUGGCGAAGGCGGCGUUCUGGACUGCAACUGACACUGAGUGAACGAAAGCCAGGGGAGCAAACGGG
rnacentral:rRNA from 1 species